AACAUCCCCAUCAGAUUCUUGUCAUCUUUAAGUAGAUAUUACACUGUUGGUCAUAUCCCCUACUCGUUCAGUCGCCAAAACAUAAUAAGAGUAAAGAACUCCAAGCGUAUCAUAAAGUAAGAAACCUCACCAUCACCAGCAACGUGAUUCGUAGCAUUUGCAACAUGCUUAACAAGGCACGUUGCUUCGUAGCAUUUGCAACAUGCUUAACAAGGCUUGCACCAAUAUUCUUUACAUCUUUGAACUCGAUGCUCUUUGCCACAGUAACACCACCAAUCUUCUGAUCAAAAGUUGAAGCAUGCCACUUUUCCAGCUUCUCUGACGCAGAAAGAAUAGCAACACCGCCGCCUGCAAAGAAUUGAUGUAGUGGUUCUAGACACAAUGUCCUCCCAAAGUGGCUUCACAAAGAAUUGUCUGGGAGAGAAUAUGCAGAUAGAUGACUCGAAUGUCUAUAUAUAAUUAUACCUUUUUCCUGAAUAAUUAGUUUUAUGAAUGAUGCUCAAUCUUAUUGGCACCGGUGCAUGUUGUUAAUUGUUUGGUUUCAUAAAUUGAUUUAUUCUUUUCCUCAUCUGGGUGUGAGUGUGUAUUGCAUACCACACAUCAUUCUCGUGAUCUCGUACUCUGUUAUUACUUAACACUUACUGUGAUGUAGGGCCCUGUAAUUGGGGGACCUCUUGUCCAUCCAGCUAAGGGGGUUGUUGGUGUCAUUCACUAUAGGAAUCACCACCGAAUUGAAGCGACACCAAUUGAUGAUGUUUUGAAGUAUCUAGAGCACUUCAAGAAACAUGGGGAACAACCUCCUAAAAGAGUUUCGUGUGCUUGAUCGUAGGCUAUGGGGCUACUUUUGGAAAAGGAGUUUUGUACAUACUCUAGUAGCUAUGUAAUGGAAAACAUGCUCGAAUUGCUAAGUACUUGUCACGCAAUGUUAUGAUUUUGUGACUUUUGUAUAUAAAAAAUAAUUAAAAUAUGAAGCGCCUCAGGCCCUCAAGCAAUGUUAAGUUAUGGGUCUUUCUCUGUUUAGACUGUUUUUGUUUUUGUCGAGCGGAUUUAGUUC